rfam:Triticum aestivum genome assembly, contig: Triticum_aestivum_CS42_TGACv1_scaffold_158194_2DL
CAUGUACUACCUCCGUCCCAAAAUACUUGUCAAAGAGAUGGAUAAAACUGGAUGUAUCUAUAACUAAAAUACGUCUAGAUUCAUCCAUUUCCCCGACAAGUAUUUCCGGACGGAGGGAGUAUAAG